GCAGGGUCACCUGGGUGGGUGGAGUCACCUGGGUGUGGUCACUCUGGUCACACCUGGGUGUGGUCAUUUUGGUGGACGCAUCUUGGGGUGGUCACCUGGGUGUGGUCACUUGGGUGUGGUCACCUGGAUGUGGUCACUUUGGUGUGGCUUUCUUUGUGGGGUCACCUUGGUUUGGUCACUUUGGUGUGGUCAUUUUGGUGUGGUCACCUUGGUGUUGUCAUCUGGAUGUGGUCACUUUGGUGUGGUCACUUGGGUGGACACACCUUGGUGUGGUCACCUUGUGGAGUUACCUGGGUGGAGACGCCUGGGUGUGGUCAGUUAGUGGUCACCUGGGUGUGGUCACCCGGAUGUGGUCAUUUUGGUGGACACGGUGUGGUCACUUUGUGGGGUCACCUGGGUGUGGUCAGUGUGGUCACUUUGGUGGACACACCUUGGUGUAGCUCUCCCUUUGUGGUCACCUUGGUGUGGUCAGCUGGCCAAAGUCAUUGCGGUCAUCCCCUGGAGUGACCACUGACCGCUGCUCACUCAGAACCCAUUGAUGAUGGACAGGCCGGGGGUUUGGUCAGCAUGGUGGUCAUCUGGUGGUCACUGACCAUGUCAGAUUGGUGUGGUCACUGUGGUCACCUUGAGCGACCAUUGUCCGCUUGUGUCCACCCAGAACAACCUGGUCAUCGACACGCCGCGCGUCCGGAAGCAGACUCGCCACUUCAGCACCCUGCGGGACGACGACCUGGUGGAGUUCUCGGACCUGGACAGCGACGAUGACCUCGAGCGGCCGCUCCGGCCGCUCCGGCCAGCCCAGCAACGCCGUUCGGGAGGAGCGACUGCGUGCGGGUGGAGAAACACCUGAUGGUCUACGGGUGGGUGUGGGGACACCUGGGCACACCUGGGCACACCUGGGGACAUUUGGGGACACCUGGGCACACCUGGGGACACCUGGGCACACCUGGGGUGGGCAGGUGGGGUCGGUGACCUCUCAUUGGUCCGUGUCUUUCAUUGAUCCAUUGUUGUCCCCAUUGAGUGUUGGUGACCCCGCUGACGCCAUGUUGGUCUCGUUGAGCGUCCAUUGGCUGUUGGUGCUGUUGACGUCAUUGAUCCUUUAUUGAUUUUAUUGAUCCUCUGUUGAUUGUAUUGAGCCCUCAUUGAUGCCAUUGAUUUGCCAUUGACCCCAUUGAUCCCUCAUUGAUCCUGUUCCUGAUUGUCCUCAUUGGGUUCUCAUUGAUCCCAUUGAUCCCUCAUUGAUUCUGCUGGUUUUUCAUUGACUCGAUUGUCUUCUCAUUGAUUCAGUUGGUUCCCAAUUGAUUCCAUUGGUUCCCCAUUGAUCCCAUUGGUUCCCCAUUGCCCCCAUUGGUUCCCCAUUGACUUGAUUGUCUUCUCAUUGAUCCCAUUGGCUCCCCAUUGACCCCAUUGAUCCUUCAUUGAUUCUGCUGGUUUUUCAUUGACUCUAUUGUUGCUCCAUUGACUCGAUUGUCUUCUCAUUGAUUCCAUUGGUUCCUAAUUGAUUCCAUUGGUUCCCCAUUGACUCCAUUGGUCUCAUUGAUUCCAUUGGUUCCCCAUUGAUUCUAUUGAUGCUCCAUUGACUCGAUUGUCUUCUCAUUGAUCCCAUUGGUUUUGCAUUGAUCCCAUUGGUUUCUCAUUCACUCCACUGGUUUUUCAUUGAUCUUAUUGAUUUCCAUUGACUCCAUUGCUUCCCCAUUGACCCCAUGGGUGCCCCAUUGAUCCCAUUGGUUCCAUAUUGGUCUUAUUGACUUUGCAUUGACCCCAUUGAUUCCAUUGGUUUUUCAUGGAUGCCAUUGGUUCCUAGUUGAUCCUAUUGAUCUCUCCUUUACUCUAUUGGUUUUCUAUUGACUUUAUUGAUCUGCCAUUGACCCUAUUGGUUCCUAAUUGAUCCCAUUGAUUCUCCAUUGACGCCAUUGAUCUCUCACUGACUCCGUUGGAUCUCCAUUGACCUCGUUGGUUCCUUAUUGAUCCCAUUGAUCUCUCAUUGACUGUAUUGGUUCCUCAUUGACUCCAGUGGUUGCUUAUUGAUCCAAAUGGUUCCUCAUUGAUCCCAUUGGCCUCCCAUUGACUGCCUUGGUUUCCUAUUGAUCCCAAUGACGGCCUAUU
rnacentral:lncRNA from 1 species